rnacentral:sRNA from 1 species
CUCGGAUCAGGUAGGGAUNCCCGCUGAACUUAAGCAUAUCAAUAAGCGGAGGAAAAGAAACCAACAGGGAUUGCCUCAGUAACGGCGAGUGAAGCGGCAACAGCUCAAAUUUGAAAUCUGGCUCUUUCAGGGUNCGAGUUGUAAUUUGUAGAAGAUGCUUUGGGUGUGGCUCCGGUCUAAGUUCCUUGGAACAGGACGUCAUAGAGGGUGAGAAUCCCGUACGUGACUGGGUGCCUUCGCUCGUGUAAAGCUCUUUCGACGAGUCGAGUUGUUUGGGAAUGCAGCUCAAAAUGGGUGGUAAAUUUCAUCUAAAGCUAAAUAUUGGCCAGAGACCGAUAGCGCACAAGUAGAGUGAUCGAAAGAUGAAAAGCACUUUGGAAAGAGAGUUAAACAGUACGUGAAAUUGUUGAAAGGGAAGCGCUUGUAACCAGACUUGCGCGCUGUUGAUCAUCCGAGCUUUUGCCCGGUGCACUCGGCAGCGCUCAGGCCAGCAUCGGUUUUGGUGGGCGGAUAAAGGCCUUGGGAAUGUAGCUCUCUUCGGGGAGUGUUAUAGCCCUCGGUNCAAUGCNCCUACCGGGACCGAGGACCGCGCUUCGGCUAGGAUGCUGGCGUAAUGGUUGUAAGCGACC